rnacentral:misc_RNA from 1 species
GAUGAAGAACGUAGCGAAAUGCGAUAAGUAAUGUGAAUUGCAGAAUUCAGUGAAUCAUCGAAUCUUUGAACGCACAUUGCGCCCGCCAGUAUUCUGGCGGGCAUGCCUGUUCGAGCGUCAUUUCAACCAUCAAGCCCCGGGCUUGUGUUGGGGGCCUGCGGCUGCCGCAGGCCCUGAAAUGCAGUGGCGGGCUCGCUGUCACUCCGAGCGUAGUAGUUACAUCUCGCUCUGGGCGUGCUGCGGGUUCCGGCCGUUAAAAGCCUUAUUUACCCAAGGUUGACCUCGGAUCAGGUAGGAAGACCCGCUGAACUUAAGCAUAUCAAUAAGCGGAGGA